CCUACGGGAGGCAGCAGUGGGGAAUAUUGCACAAUGGGGGAAACCCUGAUGCAGCGACGCCGCGUGAGCGAUGAAGUAUUUCGGUAUGUAAAGCUCUAUCAGCAGGGAAGAAAAUGACGGUACCUGACUAAGAAGCCCCGGCUAACUACGUGCCAGCAGCCGCGGUAAUACGUAGGGGGCAAGCGUUAUCCGGAUUUACUGGGUGUAAAGGGAGCGUAGACGGUCCUGCAAGCCAGAUGUGAAAGCCCGGGGCUCAACCCCGGGACUGCAUUUGGAACUGUAAGGCUAGAGUGUCGGAGAGGCAGGCGGAAUUCCUAGUGUAGCGGUGAAAUGCGUAGAUAUUAGGAGGAACUCCGAUUGCGAAGGCAGCCUACUAAACUGCCACUGACAUUGAUGCUCGAAAGUGUGGGUAUCAAACAGGAUUAGAUACCCUUGUAGUC
rnacentral:rRNA from 1 species